rnacentral:rRNA from 1 species
CAUGGUGUAGCAAUACACCGGAAGAUUUAGUGGCGAACGGGUGAGGAUCACGUGAGAAACCUGCCCCAGACUUUGGGAUAACAAUUGGAAACGAUUGCUAAUACCGAAUGACGUCGGAGAACCGCAUGGUUCACUGACGAAAGGAAAUCCGGUUUGGGAGGGUCUCGCGGCCUAUCAGCUUGUUGGUGGGGUAAUGGCCUACCAAGGCAACGACGGGUAGCUGGUCUGAGAGGAUGAUCAGCCACACUGGGACUGAGACACGGCCCAGACUCCUACGGGAGGCAGCAGUGGGGAAUCUUGCGCAAUGGGCGAAAGCCUGACGCAGCAACGCCGCGUGCGGGAUGAAGGCCUUCGGGCUGUAAACCGCUUUCAGCAGGAACGAAAAUGACGGUACCUGCAGAAGAAGGAGCGGCCAACUACGUGCCAGCAGCCGCGGUGACACGUAGGCUCCAAGCGUUGUCCGGAUUUAUUGGGCGUAAAGAGCUCGUAGGCGGUUUAGUAAGUCGGGUGUUAAAACUCUGGGCUCAACCCGGAGAGGCCAUCCGAUACUGCUGUGACUUGAGUUCAGGAGGGGAGCGGGGAAUUCCUAGUGUAGCGGUGAAAUGCGCAGAUAUUAGGAGGAACACCGGUGGCGAAGGCGCCGCUCUGGACUGAAACUGACGCUGAGGAGCGAAAGCAUGGGUAGCAAACAGGAUUAGAUACCCUGGUAGUCCAUGCCGUAAACGGUGGGCACUAGGUGUGGGUUCCAACUAACGGGAUCCGCGCCGUCGCUAACGCAUUAAGUGCCCC